rnacentral:rRNA from 1 species
AUAACUGCGGUAAUUCUGGAGCUNANNCAUGCCACAAAGCUCCNACCCCUAUGGGAAAGAGCGCGUUUAUUAGGUCAAAACCAAUCGGGUCCUCGCGGCCCGNANCUCUGAUGACUCUGGAUAACUUCGAGCUGAUCGCAUGGCCUCGUGCCGGCGACGUAUCUUUNAAGUGUGUGCCCUAUCAACUUUCGAUGGUACGUGAUAUGCCUACCAUGGUAGUAACGGGUAACGGGGAAUCAGGGUUCGAUUCCGGANAGGGAGCAUGAGAAACGGCUACCACAUCCAAGGAAGGCAGCAGGCGCGCNAAUUACCCAAUCCCGACACGGGGAGGUAGUGACGAAAAAUAACAAUACGGGACUCUUUUGAGGCCCCGUAAUUGGAAUGAGUACACUUUAAAUCCUUU